AAGCACAGGUACCUCUCCUUUCAUAGAGGUCUUGAAGCAGGACAAAGUGCCUAGCAUCUAUACACUUUGUGAAGUGAGUUUGCAAUUCCUCCCACGGAAGCUUGGCUAUGCCUUGCAUUUUGGCCAAUGAAAUGUGACGGAAGUGACUCAUUCCAAGAAAAACUCUUAAGGGUUACUGAAAAGCUUCUGUCUAGUCCUCUUAUGCUGUUACCAUUCUCCACGUAAAGAACAUGCUGCAUGCCGUAACAAUUUGUAUGGAAAAUGAAGAAACGCCUGGAACAGCCUACAGGUGCAGUGGACAUAGCACCCUUCUGUGUCCCCCUCCAGGUCUCAGGGAGCAGCUCUGCAAUGGGGUUAUGCUGGGAGCCUGUUUAUUCAAGGACGAAAUGUUUCAUGAGUGUGUUGGGCUUAUCCGGGGUUACACAGGAAGUCACUAUCAAAAUCAUGUAUAUCCUGUGUCAGUCCCUGUGGCCAUCAGUCCUCUUCUGAUCAUCACUCAAACUGACUUGAGUGAGAAAGAAAUUUAUUUAUUUGAUUUGCUAAGUCCAGGAAUAUACUAGUUCCAAGUGUAGCUGAAUCCAGUAGCUGAAGCAUUUUUCUCAAGAACUGCUUUUUCUGUCUCUCUUCUCUGAUUUAACCUGUGCUGACUUUUAUCUUAGGAAGACUCUCUUCAGGAGGUAACCCCUGAUGGACACAUACUCUUAUCCUUGCAGAAGGCAGAAGAUGCCCUUUCUUUACUCUUCCAAGCAGUUUCAGUGAAAGUCCUGGACCUGGCUUUCUGCCCAAAUAAAGUUGCACACCCUCUGAUAUGUUUGAAUAAU
rnacentral:lncRNA from 13 species